rnacentral:rRNA from 1 species
AUACGGAGGGUGCAAGCGUUAAUCGGAAUUACUGGGCGUAAAGCGUGCGUAGGUGGUUUGUUAAGUUAGAUGUGAAAGCCCCGGGCUCAACCUGGGAACUGCAUUUGAAACUGGCAUACUAGAGUAUAUGAGAGGAAAGUGGAAUUUCAGGUGUAGCGGUGAAAUGCGUAGAUAUCUGAAGGAACAUCAAUGGCGAAGGCAGCUUUCUGGACUAAUACUGACACUGAGGUACGAAAGCGUGGGUAGCAAACAGAAUUAGAAACCCUAGUAGUCC